rnacentral:lncRNA from 1 species
AAUUAAAGUCUCUAAGCAGCAACAACAACAACAACCAUCUAAUUAAAUUCUAGAGAAAACUUCAAAAACCCUCUUGUGAUUUCGUAGUAUCUCACUUUGCCUUCCUGUGAUUUAAAAUAUAUCAAAUUGCCCCUUUGUGGUUUUAUUUUUAUCUUUUUGGUAGCUUUUUCGUUAAUAUUUCAUUAAAUUAUAUACAAAAAACUUCAGAUACCCAUCUAGAUUUAUCAAAUAUUCACUUUAGUAUUUUUUAAUUUUUAACUUUAUCACUGAUUUAAGAAAAAAAAAAUAAUAAAAUUGAUAAUAAAAAGAAAAAAACGAAACCACAGGGGGGCAAAAUUGAUACAUUUUAAACCACAGGGGAGCAAAGGUUGAAACUACGAAACCACAGGAGGGUUUUUUAAAGUUUUCCCUAAAUUCUAAGGGUGCGUUUGGUUCGAGUUAUCCUGGCAGGAUUACAGGCAAUCCUAUCAGGAUAACUGUGUUUGGUUAAUCCGCUAUGUAAUCUAGUCGUUAAUGUGGUAUUACAAAUCGAGUAGGAUUACAUCGAAAAAAUUAACGGGAGGGGGGUCGUGUAUCUUGUAUUACUGAAAUCCGUUAAUACUACAUAUUAUGUAAAAUGAUAAUUGUACCCUCCAACAAUCCCAAAUCUAAUUAGCAGCAUUAUUUUCAUCUCUCUCGCCUCCCCCCCUCUCUCUCGCACGUCGCUUUCUCUCGCUCUCUCUCUCUCGCACGUCUAUCUGUCUCUCUCUCUCUCUCUCUAUCUCUAUCUCUUUCUCUUUCUCGCACUAACAUCUAUCGUCUUCCCAGGUAAUCAUCACGAUCUCCUACCCUCCAUUCGUCAUUUUCGCAAAAUAUAAUAUUUAAAUGACCACAACAAGGGCAUUUUUAGAAAAAACUAUACUUUUAUGUCAGGAUUACUAAAUUUUAUAAACUGAACCAAACGUAUUAAUGCUAUAAACACUGUAAUCUAGUAUUACAUUACUGCAUUAAACCAAACGCGCUAAUGCAGCAUCAGUAGUAAUCUCACGCUGAAAUCCAAGAUACCUGGAUAUGUCGAGAUACUUUGUAAUAUUACAUAACUUGAACCAAACGGGCCCUAAUAAUAAUGCUUUUGUACAGAAAAAGUCAACC